UACGGGGGGAGCAAGCGUUGUUCGGAUUUACUGGGCGUAAAGGGCGCGUAGGCGGCCACCGCAAGUCGACUGUGAAAUCUCCGGGCUUAACCCGGAAAGGUCAGCCGAUACUGCGGGGCUAGAGUGCAGAAGGGGCAACUGGAAUUCUCGGUGUAGCGGUGAAAAUGCGUAGAUAUCGAGAGGAACACCUGCGGCGAAGGCGGGUUGCUGGGGCUGGUACUGACGUGAUGCGCGAAAAGCGUGGGGGAGCAAACAGG
rnacentral:rRNA from 1 species